AUGGACAAGAAUAUGCAGCGGGAGCAAGAGGUGAUGGACAAGAAUCUGAAGCAGGAGCGGGCAACCGUGGACCGCAUGAGGAAGGAGGAGCGUGCAGCCAUGGAACAGAUGAUGAAAGAGGAGCGUGCAGCCAUGGAUCAGAGGUUGAAGCAUUUCCAUGACGAUAUGGACCUAAGGUUGAAGCAGGAGCGCAAGAACUUGGAUCACGCUAUGCAGCUCGAGCGUGGCAGGAUGGAAUUCAAUAUCAUGCAGGCGCGUGCGAACAUGGACCUUAUGUUGAAGCAGGAGCGUAAUGACACGAAUCACAAGACCAAGAUGGAGGAAAUCCGCAUGGAAGGGAAUAUAAUGCAAGACCGCAUUCUACAACUCGAGCGUGGUAAGAUGGGCUUCAAUAACAUCCAGACGCGUGUGGGCAUGGACCUUAACUUACCACAUGACCGCAAUGAUCUGGAUUACAAGGCCAAGAUGGAGGAGACCCGCAUGAAAGGAAAUACGAUACAGGACCAUGCUAAUACAUGCCUGAAGGCUCAGCAGGAUGACAAGGCCAAGAUGGAGGAGAUCCGCAUGAAAGGGGGUAUGAUGCAAGACCAUGCUAGUAUAGGCACGAAGCAUGCUCAGGAACAACAAGACAUCCCUACACCAGAGCAAUAUGUCUCAUCAGUACCUCUACAUGUAGAACAAGAGAUCUGUACACCAGAGCAAUCUGUCUCAUCCUACGUAGUUGUAAUGCAAUUUAUUGUUCAUGUGGACGAAGAACUUUCUCAUGUUCCUGAAGCAUACCACAACAAGAAACCUGGUAUGAUGACAGUACUUGAACCUGCCAAGGUGGACUGGCAGAUAAUGGUGAAAAAUUUGCGUUACCAUGGGUACAAAGGGGAAGCAGAUUUGUACUACAUCAAGCCUGGGUGCGUACCACCAGAAGGAAUGGUAAAGAUGUCAGGCCAGCAUGACGUCGAUGAAAUGUUGCACACUUUAGAAGGGAUAAAGAAAUGUCAUUUUUACAUUGUGAAGAAUUGUGCAUUCCCAGAUUAUAGCGACGAUGACAUGUCUGAACAGGACAUGUCCGAAGAAGACAUAUAUGCAUGUGGGUACAUGGAUAUCGGCAAGAGGGACAUGGGAGAAUAUGGGUCAUCGCCCAAAAGGAAGAAAAUUGCAGAUAACAAUACGAAGAAAGCAUUGGAUUUCGGCAGCAGUGAUGAGCCUCUUCAGUAG
rnacentral:rRNA from 1 species